CUCAAUGGAAUAUAGUCGUUUCCUUUAUUUACCAGGUACCUAAACUAGUUUAUUAAAAUAUAAUCUUUAUCAAUUUCAGAAGUGGGAUACCUAAGAUUACCGCGAUGAAGACUAAACGUCGACGAGAGAGGUCAGAUAGUCCUGCAGAGCCAACGCGUAAAAGAUGGCGACCAUGGAGGCCUCACGAUUCAGGAUCAGAUUCCGGUUCUGGUGACACUGACGAAAACGACAGUAUACAUCCUGGUAGCGAAGCCACGUGAGACGGGAGACAUCAACAGAAACUAACAACACCGAAAUCGGACUAAGCUGAAAUGUAACUUAUAAGCCUGGUAAUUAAAAUAUAUUUGAUUGUAUCAUAUAAUUAAUUUAUAAAAAUAUAUAUAUAUAUAUGUAUAUACAUAAAUCAAUUCUAUGUAAUAAAUAAUUAAUUUGCGUGGAAGCAAAUUGUGUCAGGAUGGACGAAUUGUUACAAUAAUGAUAAUUUAAAAGUAUUUCAAAUUAUAUUCAAUUAAAUUUACUGUUAAAAUGUGAUUUUACUGAAUAGAAUUAUUCAGUUUACAAUAAUAUAGUAAAAUAGCACGUCACAUGUUCUCUGUGGCGGAAGUUGUUUAUCGCCCAGGUAAGCGCCAUGCCCUGUGACAAAUACAAUAACUUAAACGUAUUUAAAAAUCAUAUUUAAUCAAAUUAAUUAUUAAAAUGAUAUUAUAUUUAAUUUUUAUUCGAUUAAUACUAUUAAAGUAAAAUAACACCCUACACGUGGAUGUUGUUUGUCGCCUAUAAAACGCACCAUGUCGGCGCCGCGCGCCCAGUUGACUGCAGGCGCUCGUAGAGGACACUUGGCAAAAAAGAUAAGUAUUUUAUGGUGAUUGAAUUUGUUAUGUCAAAAUAUAGUAGUUUUAUUUAAUAAAUUUAUAAACAUUAAUUACUUUAU
rnacentral:misc_RNA from 1 species